GAUGAACGCUGGCGGCGCGCCUAAUACAUGCAAGUCGAGCGAACAGACGAGGAGCUUGCUCCUCUGACGUUAGCGGCGGACGGGUGAGUAACACGUGGAUAACCUACCUAUAAGACUGGGAUAACUUCGGGAAACCGGAGCUAAUACCGGAUAAUAUAUUGAACCGCAUGGUUCAAUAGUGAAAGACGGUUUUGCUGUCACUUAUAGAUGGAUCCGCGCCGCAUUAGCUAGUUGGUAGGGUAACGGCUUACCAAGGCAACGAUGCGUAGCCGACCUGAGAGGGUGAUCGGCCACACUGGAACUGAGACACGGUCCAGACUCCUACGGGAGGCAGCAGUAGGGAAUCUUCCGCAAUGGGCGAAAGCCUGACGGAGCAACGCCGCGUGAGUGAUGAAGGUCUUCGGAUCGUAAAACUCUGUUAUUAGGGAAGAACAAAUGUGUAAGUAACUAUGCACGUCUUGACGGUACCUAAUCAGAAAGCCACGGCUAACUACGUG
rnacentral:rRNA from 1 species